CCUACGGGUGGCAGCAGUGGGGAAUAUUGGGCAAUGGACGCACGUCUGACCCAGCAACGCCGCGUGAAGGAAGAAUGCUUUCGGGUUGUAAACUUCUUUUUAGGGGGAAGAGCAGAAGACGGUACCCCUUGAAUAAGCCACGGCUAACUACGUGCCAGCAGCCGCGGUAAUACGUAGGUGGCAAGCGUUGUCCGGAUUUACUGGGUGUAAAGGGCGUGCAGCCGGAGAGACAAGUCAGAUGUGAAAUCCACGGGCUCAACCCAUGAACUGCAUUUGAAACUGUUUCCCUUGAGUGUCGGAGAGGUAGUCGGAAUUCCUAGUGUAGCGGUGAAAUGCGUAGAUAUUAGGAGGAACACCAGUGGCGAAGGCAGCUUACUGGACUGUAACUGACGUUGAGGCUCGAAAGCGUGGGGAGCAAACAGGAUAAGAUACCCCUGUAGUC
rnacentral:rRNA from 1 species